CCUACGGGGGAAAACAGGGGAUCUUCGGACCUUGUGCAAUUGGAUGAGCCUGCGUUAGAUUAGCUAGUUGGUGGGGUAAAGGCCUACCAAGGCGACGAUCUAUAGCUGGUCUGAGAGGAUGAUCAGCCACAUCGGGACUGAGACACGGCCCGGACUCCUACGGGAGGCAGCAGUGGGGAAUAUUGGACAAUGGGCGCAAGCCUGAUCCAGCAAUGCCGCGUGUGUGAAGAAGGCCUUCGGGUUGUAGAGCACUUUCAAUUGUGAAGAAGGGGUUCGUGUUAAUAGCACGGAUCUUUGACGUUAACUUUAGAAGAAGCACCGGCUAACUCCGUGCCAGCAGCCGCGGUAAUACGGAGGGUGCAAGCGUUAAUCGGAAUUACUGGGCGUAAAGCGCGCGUAGGCGGUUGUUUAAGUCAGAUGUGAAAGCCCCGGGCUCAACCUGGGAAUGGCCUCUGAUACUGGAUAACUAGAGUUUGGGAGAGGGGAGUAGAAUUUCAGGUGUAGCGGUGAAAUGCAUAGAUAUCUGAAGGAAUACCAGUGGCGAAGGCGACUCCCUGGCCUA
rnacentral:rRNA from 1 species